CCUACGGGAGGCAGCAGUGAGGAAUAUUGGUCAAUGGGCGGAAGCCUGAACCAGCCAAGUAGCGUGCAGGAUGACGUCCCUACGGGUUGUAAACUGCUUUUAUACGGGAAUGAAGCGCCUUACGUGUACGUCUUUGCAUGUACCGUAUGAAUAAGGACCGGCUAAUUCCGUGCCAGCAGCCGCGGUAAUACGGAAGUUCCGGGCGUUAUCCGGAUUUAGUGGGUUUAAAGGGCGCGUAGGUGGAAUGACAAGCGUGCUGUGAAAUGUCGGGGCUCAACCUGGGCCUUGCAGUGGAAACUGGCAGGCUUGAGUCCGCGGAAGGCAGGCGGAAUUCGUCGUGUAGCGGUGAAAUGCGUAGAUAUGACGAAGAACCCCGAUUGCGAAGGCAGCUUGCUGCAGCGGAACUGACGUUGAUGCUCGAAAGCGUGGGUAUCGAACAGGAUUAGAUACCCGAGUAGUC
rnacentral:rRNA from 1 species